rnacentral:rRNA from 1 species
AACGAACGCUGGCGGCAGGCUUAACACAUGCAAGUCGAGCGGGCAUAGCAAUAUGUCAGCGGCAGACGGGUGAGUAACGCGUGGGAAUCUACCCAACCCUAUGGAAUAACGCAUGGAAACGUGUGCUAAUACCAUAUACGCCCUUACGGGGAAAGAUUUAUCGGGGAUGGAUGAGCCCGCGUUGGAUUAGCUAGUUGGUGGGGUAAAGGCCUACCAAGGCGACGAUCCAUAGCUGGUCUGAGGGGAUGAUCAGCCACAUUGGGACUGAGACACGGCCCAAACUCCUACGGGAGGCAGCAGUGGGGAAUAUUGGACAAUGGGCGCAAGCCUGAUCCAGCCAUGCCGCGUGAGUGAUGAAGGCCCUAGGGUUGUAAAGCUCUUUCACCGGAGAAGAUAAUGACGGUAUCCGGAGAAGAAGCCCCGGCUAACUUCGUGCCAGCCGCCGCCGUAACAC